GGGCAGAGGGAUCCUCUUCCUGUUGUCACUGGUGUGUUCCCGUGGUGCACACCAGGUUCAUCUAACUUUCCAGCCCUGGAGCAGCUUUGGAGACAGAUGGGUUUGUAGACCUGGCUUCACAGAUGCCCUUUGGUCCUCUGACCUCAGGAGGAUGAAUUCUGCUCACAUCCAAGCUGCGAUUUGACCACCUAGCUGUGGUUUGGCUGUGCAGCCAUCCCACCAUCCCCCAGUUUGGCUGGGUGGUUUGUGUGUAUUGGGGGUGCAAUCUUUAAUUAGGUAAUUACCCAGUAUUUUUCAACACAAUGCCCAAGAUCACUACCUCUCUUCAUGAGCAGCUAAUCAAUAUUUCUUCUUACCCUUCCAUUUGUUGUGCAGCUCUGACCUUAUUUAUUACAGAGUCUGUUCAGUCAGCAAAGUAAUAUUUAUUUCUCAAUAGGCUUCAUUGUGAUAUUGCUGUCACUGCAAUAAAGCUCAAAGAUAAAUAAUUAAUCUGGGCAAUAUCCUCAGCAGGCAAAACUUCUGGAGGACUAAGAGAGCCCACUGUGGGGGGAAAAAAAAAAGAUGAGGCACAAAUAUGUGUGUCCUCCUUUCUACAGAGCAGAAUGCCUCAAGAGCCACACGUGGUUGGAGUAUGCACUUUGAUUGUCUGCCUCCUACAAACUUCGAGGCUACCUUUUACAUCCUCUUACACAGCUUUGGGAAGAGA